rnacentral:rRNA from 1 species
AUUGAACGCUGGCGGCAUGCUUUGCACAUGCAAGUCGAACGGCAGCGCGGGCUUCGGCCUGGCGGCGAGUGGCGAACGGGUGAGUAAUACAUCGGAACGUGCCCAGUAGUGGGGGAUAGCUCGGCGAAAGCCGGAUUAAUACCGCAUACGACCUGAGGGUGAAAGCGGGGGAUCUUCGGACCUCGCGCUAUUGGAGCGGCCGAUGGCAGAUUAGCUAGUUGGUGGGGUAAAGGCCUACCAAGGCGACGAUCUGUAGCUGGUCUGAGAGGACGACCAGCCACACUGGGACUGAGACACGGCCCAGACUCCUACGGGAGGCAGCAGUGGGGAAUUUUGGACAAUGGGCGAAAGCCUGCUCCAGCAAUGCCGCGUGUGUGAUGAAGGCCUUCGGGUUGUAAAGCACUUUUGGCGGGAACGAAAAGGACUGUGCCAAUACCACGGUUCGAUGACGGUACCCGCAGAAUAAGCACCGGCUAACUACGUG